rnacentral:rRNA from 1 species
CCAGACUCCUACGGGAGGCAGCAGUGGGGAAUAUUGCACAAUGGGGGAAACCCUGAUGCAGCGAUGCCGCGUGGAGGAAGAAGGUUUUCGGAUUGUAAACUCCUGUCGAAGAGGACGAUAAUGACGGUACUCUUCAAGAAAGCUCCGGCUAACUACGUGC